UACAGGGGGUGCAAACGUUGCUUGGAAUUAUUGGGCGUAAAGCGCGCGUAGGCGGCUACUUAAGUCGGAUGUGAAAGCCCCUGGCUCAACUGGGGAAGUGCACCCGAAACUGAGUGGCUUGAGUACUAAAGAGGGUCGCGGAAUUCCCGGUGUAGAGGUGAAAUUCGUAGAUAUCGGGAGGAACACCGGUGGCGAAGGCGGCGACCUGGGUAGAUACUGACGCUGAGGCGCGAAAGCGUGGGGAGCAAACAGG
rnacentral:rRNA from 1 species